GGUAGUGUAUUGGACAACCAUGGCUCUCACGGGUAACGGGGAAUUAGGGUUCGAUUCCGGAGAAGGAGCCUGAGAAACGGCUACUAGUUCUAAGGAAUGCAGCAGGCGCGUAAAUUACCCAAUCCUGACUCAGGGAGGUAGUGACAAGAUAUAACAACGCGACUAAUAAUCGCGAUUGUAGUGAGGGUUUUCUAAACCGAACCACUAGUACUAUUGGAGUGCAAGUCUGGUGGCAGCAGCCGCGGUAAUUCCAGCUCCAAUAGCGUAUAUUAAAGUUGUUGCAGUUAAAAAGCUCGUAGUUGGAUUUCAAGGGUUCAACUGCUCUGCAGAUUGGCCCUACCAGCCUUUGGCUGUUACUGUGAGAAAAUUAGAGUGUUUCAAGCAGGCGAUUGCGGGAAUACAUUAGCACGGAAUAACGAAUGUGUCUAGAAUCUUGGUUAAUUCUAGAUUACGAUUAAUAGGGACAGUUGGGGGCAUUAGUAUUUAAUUGUCAGAGGUGAAAUUCUUGGAUUUGUUAAAGACUAACGUAUGCGAAAGCAUUUGCCAAGGAUGUUUUCA
rnacentral:rRNA from 1 species